rnacentral:rRNA from 1 species
AGAACGCAGCGAAAUGCGAUACGUAAUGUGAAUUGCAAAUUCAGUGAAUCAUCGAGUCUUUGAACGCACAUUGCGCCCCCUGGUAUUCCGGGGGGCAUGCCUGUCCGAGCGUCAUUGCUGCCCUCAAGCCCGGCUUGUGUGUUGGGCCCCGUCCUCCGAUUCCGGGGGACGGGCCCGAAAGGCAGCGGCGGCACCGCGUCCGGUCCUCGAGCGUAUGGGGCUUUGUCACCCGCUCUGUAGGCCCGGCCGGCGCUUGCCGAUCAACCCAAAUUUUUAUCCAGGUUGACCUCGGAUCAGGUAGGGAUACCCGCUGAACUUAAGCAUAUCAAUA